rnacentral:rRNA from 1 species
UACGGAGGAUGCAAGCGUUAUCCGGAAUCAUUGGGCGUAAAGAGCUCGUAGGCGGUUUGUUGCGUCGGCUGUGAAAUCCCGAGGCUCAACCUCGGGUCUGCAGUCGAUACGAGCAAACUAGAGUGUUGCAGGGGAGACUGGAAUUCCUGGUGUAGCGGUGAAAUGCGCAGAUAUCAGGAGGAACACCGGUGGCGAAGGCGGGUCUCUGGGCAACAACUGACGCUGAGGAGCGAAAGCGUGGGGAGCGAACAGG